rnacentral:rRNA from 1 species
UACAGAGGGUGCAAGCGUUAAUCGGAUUUACUGGGCGUAAAGCGUGCGUAGGCGGUUCAUUAAGUCGGUUGUGAAAUCCCUGGGCUUAACCUGGGAACUGCAGUCGAUACUGAUGGACUAGAGUACGGUAGAGGGUGGCGGAACUCCGGGUGUAGCGGUGAAAUGCGUAGAUAUCCGGAAGAACACCGAUGGCGAAGGCAACCACCUGGGCCUGUACUGACGCUCAUGCACGAAAGCGUGGGGAGCAAACAGG